rnacentral:rRNA from 1 species
UACGAAGGGGGCUAGCGUUGCUCGGAAUCACUGGGCGUAAAGCGCGCGUAGGCGGUCUGUUAAGUGGGAUGUGAAAUCCCCGGGCUUAACCUGGGAAUUGCAUUUCAAACUGGCCGACUAGAGUACGGUAGAGGGAGGUAGAAUUUCCUGUGUAGCGGUGAAAGGCGUAGAUAUAGGAAGGAAUACCAGUGGCGAAGGCGGCCUCCUGGAUCGAUACUGACGCUGAGGCGCGAAAGCGUGGGGAGCAAACAGG